GAUGAAGAACGCAGCGAAAUGCGAUAAGUAGUGUGAAUUGCAGAAUUCAGUGAAUCAUCGAAUCUUUGAACGCACAUUGCGCCCCUUGGUAUUCCAUGGGGCAUGCCUGUUCGAGCGUCAUUUGUACCUUCAAGCUUUGCUUGGUGUUGGGUGUUUGUCUCGCCUUUGCGUGUAGACUCGCCUUAAAAUAAUUGGCAGCCGGCGUAUAGAUUUCGGAGCGCAGUACAUCUCGCGCUUUGCACUCAUAACGACAGCGUCCAAAAGUACAUUUUACACUCUUGACCUCGGAUCAGGUAGGGAUACCCGCUGAACUUAAGCAUAUCAAUAAGCGGAGGA
rnacentral:misc_RNA from 1 species